GUGCCAGCCGCCGCGGUAAUACAGAGGGUGCGAGCGUUAAUCGGAAUUACUGGGCGUAAAGCGCGCGUAGGCGGCUUGGUAUGUCGGGUGUGAAAUCCCCGGGCUCAACCUGGGAACUGCAUCCGAAACUGCCUUGCUAGAGUAUGGGAGAGGGAAGUGGAAUUUCCGGUGUAGCAGUGAAAUGCGUAGAUAUCGGAAGGAACACCAGUGGCGAAGGCGACUUCCUGGACCAAUACUGACGCUCAAGUGCGAAAGCGUGGGGAGCAAACAGGAUUAGAAACCCCAGUAGUCC
rnacentral:rRNA from 1 species